UGAAAGACAAUAGUAAAGUGGAAGUAGUAGCAUCAAUUAUAUCAUUAGAAAGAAUCAAGUCGAAUGAUUAGAUACAUUCUCAAAUCAUAUUCAGUAACCCAUUUGAUAUAAUUGAUAGUGAUAAUAUAGAUAGUAAUAUCUUAAUCGAACAUGACAGCUAUGCUGGGAGUUGAUGGUUUUAUUUAUAUAGUUUAAAAUUAGUGCAUGGACCAUCGAGGAAUAGUAUCUUAUGUAUGUCAUCCAAAAUUUAUAUUAUGGAUCUGGACAAGGUAUUGGUUAUAACAUUUUGUGUCUGCCGUUUUGUGUUACUGUUUUCCUUUAUGGUACAUUCUACUACUGCUUUGUUUUGUGUUACUGUGACAUUUCAUCAUUUCCUUUAUGAUGCAUUCGACUACGGCUUUGUUUUGUGUUACUGUGACAUUUCAUCAAGUCCCUGUAGCUUCCAUCCAUCCAUCCUAAAGCAGAAGAGCCUGCGACACUCCUCACCGUAUCAAUUCACUCUUCAAAAUGCCUUGGUCAUCAUCAAGUAUUACAGUCUUAAUCAUCCUUCAAACCCUUGGAGAGUCAAGAUAUGCGAGUGUUCCUCAGUCAAUAUGAGCAUCCAAAGGGUAGCUUUCCCAGCUCUUGGCAUAUUCUCAAACUCAUGAAUGGACUUGAAAGAAAAGUCCACUACAUGACUGUAGAUUCCAUUGUCUCCUGCAACUCAUAUAUUGAACUCCACAGGCUCAUCAUUCCCCCUCCCACUAACUGCUAAAGAUUCCAUUGUCCAUCAUUGUGUUCCUUUGUCUUAGGCCCUCAUGAUGCUUCUCCACCCUUGGUAAAGAUUCAGUAAACAACUUGCAGCACUUUUCUAGUGAGUGUGAAGCUCCAUUGACCGUGAGUUGUCCAUGGAACGCCAUGUACACACAAAACCUAAUCAUCGGAAAGUAGAAGAGUACUUGCACAUUCUCAUCAUAGAGAUAUAAUUAUGAUAUCAAGUGCAAUCACACGGAGUGAGCUUCUUCCUUCUUGCCCCCCUACUGCUCAUACACCCUUUGUCUAAGGUUUAGAUUCUCGAGUUUGUGAGAUAUUAAUGUGAUCUGCAUGUCCUAACUUAUAGAUUCUCAAGCCAUGAUUAGAUUCAUCGUAUAUAGAGAGCGAAUUUACCUAGAAUAUAAGCAUGUUGAUGUCGCCUUUCGUGGAAUGAAAUUAUUAUUAUUUUGGUCUUUCCAUAGAAAGUGUUGAGUGUAUGGAGACGGUGCAUGCACAUUAAGAUCAUAUACAUGAACUAGUGAGAGAUGCAUGCACAUUAAGAUCAUGCAUAUGAGCCACUGGAGAUGUAUAUAAAGUCUUCGCGUGAUGUGCAAAAUCAUGGCUUCUAUCUCAAAGCUUUCGUAGGAGAAUAAUGGAUUAGAUCAUGGUCUGAGUAUAUAGGUUGCGAUCAAUUACUGUAGGGGAGUAUUGUGUACAUGAACUAUGUCUAAAUUCGAUGGAUGUGGGAUCGUAAGCUACACAUAUAAAGAUUUCAAAUGUUUGAAUUCAAUUUAAUUAGCUCAUAAUGAAAAUAUUCUUAGAAAGAUUAUUUUGUGUAGUAUUGGUUUUAUAAAUAUCAAAUGAUUUGAUAGAAAAAGAUGUUAUUUUUCCUAUGUUUCGACUAGUAAGCAAAAAUAUUUUUUGCAGGACACAUAUUAUUGUCAUAUGUUCUCUAUUCUUUUUUUUCAUGUAUUACUAUGCAAUAUAUAUAUUUAUAUAUAUAUAUAUAUAUAUUUUUUUUUUUUUUUGUGUGUAGAUCAAAAUUUGUCCCUUUUCUUAUUGUUUUUUGGUCAUCUCAACUUCACAACGAAAGAUUUUAAAUGCAGCCUUUUAUGUUUGGAGGGCACUUGAAACAACACCACUAACAGAUUUCUGCUGCACACGUCGUCGUCGAAGCACAACUGCCUGCUGUUGCGAAGGACGUGUGAAGCAGAAGUCUUUUGUCGUGUUGUUCCAACUGCCCUCCCAACAGAAAAAGCUGCAUUUAAAGUUGUGUCCGUGAUGACGCUAUCUUUAUUCCACGACGCCGAUGCCGGUAAUGCAGGGAGGCGAGGGGGACUCCAGGGAAGUGGAACGCCCUCGGCUUCUUCGUCCGGUAACGAAUUUGUUUUGAUGAAGAGUCAGUAGCUCAACCAACGUUGAGCCGAACAUGACAUGAUGCAUCUCGAUAGCCUUGAUGAAUCUUGAAGCUAAAACUUUGUGCAGUCGACAGGUUCAUUGCACACACACCACUCGACGAGAAAUCAGGUUUCAAGACCAAGUGAUGGAUGAUGGAUGUGCCACUAUGAUUUGACUCGUUGAUCAAGAACAUGGGAAUUCUUGUGCUAUAUUCAUGAAAGAAACAGAGAUCUGAGAAGGGAUCGGUACCGGAUGCGGCGGUGCCGGCUACGACGGCCUGCAUGUACCUCUCGGGGAGCUCCCCAGCGGAUCCGAUGACGCCGCUCUGCACGAGGGCGUCGGCGAUGCCGGAGAGGACCACUGCGCCAACGGUGACGUCGAAGGCGGCGUAGCGCCCCUGCUUGCCCCUGACGUAGGCGGCAUCCAUGACGGGGACGACGAGGAGGGCGGCGAUGAAGAGGGCGAGGCCAGCGUUGACGCGGAGGUGAGCGCUGGAGCGGCGGGCCCAUAAGACGAUGACGGCGAGGAGGAGGAGGCCAAUGACCAUGUAGGCCACGGAGAAGACGCGGUCGACGGGGGCACCCGGGUAGAGGUAGCUGAAGUAGUCCACGGCGGUGAUGAAGGCGUUCCACGCCAGGAGGAACCCCGCACCCAGGGUGAAGUACACGGCGUAGGCGACGUGGAACAAGUCCUUGGGCGCGGAGGCCACGGGCGCCUUCGUCGUCGGUGUCUCCUCAUCGCCGGCGACCGGCACGAUGAGCCCCUUCCUCACGUCGGCUCCUCCCAUCUUCAUGUCAGUGUCGUCGAUUUCGUUUGUUUCAUUGAGGGGGUCGGAGAUGACAGACGGUUCCGAAGGAGGGCUAGCAUGGAUCCCUUCCAAUUCUUGUCCCAUCCCCAUCUCUGCUGUCUUCAAUUUGCUGGUUGGCGGGGGCACGGAUGGUUGUAGAGGAUCCCACCUUCGAAGUGAGAAAUAGUUUUGAAUGGAAGACGGUAACGACAUGGUUCAAAACUUUAUUCCAUUAAUUUUUAUCACUUUACCUAAUACCAUCCUAUAUAAAAUCUAAUAAAAAGUACCAAUAUUUUUUU